AAGCUGUUCCAAGUCAUCAGUUUUCAAACUUCACUUCUUUUCCUUUUAAUUUGUAGUCUCUAAUGUCUUAGAGACCACAGAAGCAAUUUGCCAUUCUCCCUAAAAUACUAUAUGCAAUACAAAUGACUUGGGCACAUUUGAUAAAGAUGCUUUUUCCUUUCAGAUGUUCUGAGUGAAUCCAUUUGAAAGAUAAUUGUGCUUGUAAUAUAGAAGAUGCUCAGGUGCUGAAGGGCAAGCUAAUGAGAUGCAGUGAGGGUUGCUUUUCUGUACUCAGCUUCAUAAAAGCACUCAUUUGAUCAAUGCAAUCUAUUCUUGUGAAAGUAACCCACAGUGGGUGGGCAUGGGGAGCUGGAAGAGGGAAUCUAACAAACUUAAUGUGAUUCAGGUAGCAAGAGGGGUAAUACGGAGGGAAUUUCUUCUGACAGUUCUCUCCAUCUCAAUCAUUUUGUUUUCCCACAUCUCAGCAAUGUGCUCUCUUUCCCCUCAUUACAGCCUCUUACCUUGAGUGGGAUUUCAGGACUUAAAAUGCACCAGCACUUUUAAAGAGAGGGUACUGCUUAAGAAGCAAGCAAGAUGCAGAAAGCACGACACUUUAAAUUAUAAUUCUCACCCUUUAACAUUGAGCAACAACCUCAAAAAUGUCUGAGGAGCCAUCAUGUCCUUAUGUUCCACGCUCAACUCCAUCCAUGAAGCACCGUGUUUCUCAUGCAGUGAGGACAGGACAGCAUCCAUACUGGAGGUUUGAAUCUACCUUUGGUUUUACACUCAUGAUUUUUGACUUGGAAACAUCUACAGCAGUUGAUUUGGGAAGCGGAUCACUCAGGGAGCAGUGGAUCAGCUGAGCAAGGAGGAGCACGUACGUAUCUGGUCCAACAUCACUCCCACACAGUGCAGGGAUAUAACUUCCCUUGAAAACUUGUGGUGAGCUCUGCAUGAGGAGGCUAUAAAGAGUUAAAGAUUUUGUUUUGGAUCUCCAAGGCACACUGGAAGCCAAGUUCUUAAAAAAGUAGUUUAAUUUGUUGCCAUUAUAUUUGCCAGAUGUAUGACCUCACUCAACUUUUAGCAACGGUUCUUUGUGCCCAGAAUGGCCCCCUGGGGAAGCAGGCUGUGCCUGAAGGCUGCUGCAAAUGGCUUUUUGGCUGCUACGAGCAUGGAGCAUGUUAAACAUAAGCGUGAUAUGCGAAAAAGUAAGAAUCCUCAAGCACUGCCCACUUUCCUUCCUGUCUGGGAGCUGGAAUUGGACAGAUACUGCAGUUUAGUUCAUAACUGAAUAAGCAAAAGCAGCAGAGCACUGUGGUAUUGGCUCUUCUGGCUGGGAAAUGAGAUGGCCAGGAGAAUCCUCUGCCUGCAUAACAGUACACGUGUCUGCCAACUAACUAGAAAAUAAAAUCCAUCUAUGAUCAAAGUAGCCAGGCUUAAACCAGCCAGCCUCUUGGUAUGGAACACUUAUUAUCUAAUGGCUUUGAAGAUCUACUCUUGAGCAAAAUGUUUCCUGAAACACUAGUGACUAGGAGGAGAGGAAAACAAAUCAUUUACAGAGGUCUGUUGCUUGUGAUGUGGAAGUGGAGCUACAUUUCUUCCCUUGGUUUUAGAAAUGGUUCAUCUCCCAGUACAGUGCAAGUUCUCGAAUUGUGCAACCUGAUCAGCGGUAGCUUCGAGAAGGAAAUGUGGUGGGAAGAAUAUUCACCUAUUGAUGCUCAUCUGUGUACUUAGCCUGGGUUUAGCCUGCUUUUGGAAGUUUUACAUGUGUCUCUGGGAUCUUUGUCCAGCUCUGCGAGAGAACCACCAUCGGAGACAAACACCAUUCUUCAAUCCAAGAACAACUGGGGAUGUUCUGGCAGAGGGUAUUUCAUCGCCUGGUUAGCAGCAGCUGAGACAGACUGGGUGACCACUCUUUGAGACCAUUCAUUUGCCAUCUGUGAGGAAGUCUUUUCCCACUGACCACCUUUAGGUUUUUAUCCUCACUCCAGCCUUUCCCCUUCAAUACCCCAAUACAGCUGGAACCCCACCAAAUGCUGUCACCAAACAGGCUAAAUGGGCAUGGUGACCCUGUGCCAAAAACCUGCCAUGUCUAUUUUUCACCAUUUCUGCUCCCUGUAGGCAUCAUCUACACAGCCAGUAACUUGCUGCUGUCCUCCGGACCCCCGUCAAGCCGAGGAUAUGGUGAUGUUCUGCGUGCUGUGAGGCUUUCAGACAGCCAUCGGGAUGGUUUUGCAGCAGAUGCCCAACACGUAGUAGCACAAAAGCCGAUCCCACUGACUCAGAGCUUGCUGUGUGCAGUGUGUGCGGUUGGUGGCAGCUGCUCUUUCAGCUGAUGACUGCAAGGGUUAAGCUGAGCAGUUGCCUGGAUGGAGCUCUUGAAUUGCUUCACUUCCCUUUAUCCACUCCCUCUAUGAGUAUUUAUGUAGCAGCUGUCUGGGAGCUGUUCCACCCAGACUUCCCCUCGUGUGGGCCUACAAAAACACACAGUUUUGGGCAAAGUUUCCAUUGUCACCUUUACACGGGCCAGCUGAAAGUCAGAGCCAGCCUUUGGUGCUUGAAACACGCAAAUCAUCUGAAUGGAGGAGAAACUUCCCUGCUCAGCUGAAACAGGCAGAUUUUGCGGGCCCUCUCAGCUUUUGAGGGUGCUGAGCUCCAUGAGGUCCUGCAAGGAGGAGAAACUCCUUGUAACGUGAUAAGGGCCGGGGGGUGGUCGUUGCUUCUCCCCUUCUGUGAAUCCACUCUGCCACGUGUAGCUUGCUUGGUCCGUGCAGUCAGGAAGGCUGCCUCAGGGGUUAGCAGCCAGAUGGUUUUCAUCCCAUGAAAGCCUAGAAAUAUCCUUUUUCCUUCCAUCUCCUCUGAAAGCCUGUUGCUUUCGUUCUGUGGCAUUAGACAUGUCUUUGUGUUUCAGUGUCCUCUGAUGCAGGCAUGUGGCCGGGGAAGGCUCCUGCUGCACGUUGGGCUCACCAGGAACCAAAACCACUAGAAGAAACAGCUUCUGAGCCAGCCAGUGUAUAGAGUGCGUUUAAUACCUGCUCAGGAUGCAGAUAGAGGCAUCUUCUGCAGGACCAGGAGGAGCUUGGGGAUGAACUUGCCCCAUAUUUCUACCAGGUAGUAAAUUGAGGAAUCUGGGCACCGGGUAAUAAACCACUCCAACUUGAAAUGUUGAAGAGAAGUAAUGAGGGUGGAGUGGGGAGCAGCACCUGGGGGAAACCCCAGCUCAGUGCUGCUCCCCACUGCGGGAUUUCUCCCUGAUUGCAUCUCCAGACAGAGCUGCAGAGCUCUGUGCCAACAACCCCUCCGGCGCCCACGUCCCCAGGAACGAUUGCCUGGUUGCAGUUACCUCCAUCACCUCCCCAGCGCUGCAAAAGGCAGCGGAGGUCGAUGCUGGCUAAUUCAGAGAUGACUUGAUGUUCCCAUGCUGCGAGUGAGGAUUCGGCCACAGCAACCAGCUCUGCAGGGCUCUGGUGUGUGGCCAGCUCCUUUGCCACCUCUGAAAAUUUGUUGCCUCAAUUAACUGCCUGCUUUGCCUACGCUACUGCUAACCUUGCUGCCCGCUUGUUAACAAAUGCAGCAACGUUUAAGGUAGCGAAAUGCUUGAUGGAAGGCUUGAGGUUGGUGCUGAAUCAAUCCCUGUGCUGGGAAUGGAUCCACUUGCUUUAUUUCAAGAAACGAAGUGAGCAGGUCUCUGGCUCUGCUCCCUUUUUCUCACCCGUCAGGUGGCGAUGCUUCAUUUCCCUGCGGCUGGUGGGUUUCCCUGUGCUCCCUGCCCUUUGCUCUGAGCAAACUUGUCUCAGAGGUUACAUUCUUCACUACAAUUACCCCGCCUCAUUACCAGGCUUCCUUUGUUGCCAGGUCUCAGAGGAGAAGCGAAGAUUAAAGCGAGCAGAGAUGAUUAUAUUUAAUAGCGAUGAAAAUUGGCACGGUGGUUGGGGGCUGUUUCCCUUCCCUCGCUUCCACCUCUUGACGUGUGGAGGCAGCUUGAAAUCACAUGCGACCACCUCACCCAGCUCCACCACUGGGAGGAGAGAGCCAGUGGCAAGUUUUCCCUGUGUUUGUGUUAUCCGGACUUUCCAUCCUGGCCCCAGUGCUCAGGAAAGUAGCUUCCCCCCCUGCUCUUUUUAAAUAGAAAGGGUGUCUGUAUAUCUAAAAGCCUCCCUCUUUUUUUCCCCUCUCAACCUGUCUUGGGUUUAAUAGGAGGUGUCACCUUAGGUCUUUAGCCCAUCCCAGCCGUGACAGCGCUGUACCUUUGACUACCUGGCUGUCAAAGUAAAUGUAAGCGCAUGCUGUGGCCGUGUCAGACACCUCUUUAAAAGUGUUAAGUAUGAUCCUUAUCCCAGUAUUUAAUGUCCCAUCCCAUCCUCAAGCUAAGCCGUGAUUUGCCCAUGGAGACAAAUGCCAGGACUCAGUCCUCUCCUUUUCCUUCCAGCAAGGCUCCACCAAGAGGCAUCGCUGACCCUCACCGUCUGUCACACCAGCGAGGAGAGGAUGGAGCUGAAGGAUCCCUGAACAGGCAGUGACUUGACCAAGGGGGUCCUCCUGCAGCACUGCCCAGGGUGCCCAGCACUGCCUCCCGUGUGUGUCCAGCCGUGCCACAGCGCAACCCCGGAGCACUGCAGCUCUCAUGGCAACAGCAGCGUGCAGCUGCUUCCCUGUGUGUGCAGGCAGGAGAGGAGUUUUCUGAGGUCCAGGGCAUGUGAGGAGACCUUCUUCCAAAGCUUCCCUGGCCAGCCAAAUAAAUACAGCCAGCCAGCCACAAAUGGACACGUUCACAAACAUCUCCUCCCUCGUUGGCAGAGCAUCUGCAAACAGAUUCGCAGUUGUCUCGGAUUUGGUCACAAUGGAAAGUCGCUCAGUGGAAGUUUAUUCACAAGUUGCACUUUCUCCUGGGUUUGGAAGUCAAAUGACCAACUUGCAGCUUUGCUGCUGUCAAUGACGUGGCCUUGGUCCCCAGCCUGAAGGAAUGCCACUUGUCUCCUAGCUGGAGAUGGGGAGGAGAGAAGCUAAAUCUGACACUGGAGAGUCAUAAGCCCACGUGAUGAGUUUCAGCUGCUACUGAAACCUGGUGGCAUGAAUGUGAACGCAAAGAGGUACACUACUUAUUUUUAAAUCGCUUCUUGAAUAUUUCCACCACCAAUAUGGUUCCAGUGCUAAUACACAGUGUUCAGGUAUCAGUAAGUUUUGGCAACUUUUCUAGAGCAUGAGGAGCCAGAGUCUCUGCAAUCCAGCUUUCUUUUUUUUUUUCUUUUUUUUUUUUUUUUUCAAUAAGUUUCCCCCUUCUGCUGUGGAAAUAAGAAAGUAGAGCAUGAAGAUGCUAAAAAGACUAAAAUGUCUUGCUCAUUCUGUCGUUCAGAAAUGAAACACUUAGUUUCUUCCUUUUUUGUAAAUGUUUUCCAAUGAUUUCAACUUUUUUUUUUUUUAAUUUGUCACUGAAAUAAAGAAAAGGAAAAAAGGGGGAGAAGUAAUGAAAAGGCCAAAUGUUUCAUUUUCCAGCUAAAUUCUUAAGAGGUUUGUAAAGAAUGAAGUGCCUCGUGCUGACUUCUGGAAUAAGGAAGAGAAAUUCCACCUUUUUUGUGUGUGUUCCAUUGCCACUUUUGAAAUAAUUCAUCCCACCUCAAUUAAAACAUUAAACCUGGAAACUAUGGAGGAUGGUGAGUGCAGAUGGGCACUUUUGCAGGAGGGAUACUGGAUGGAUAAAACAUUUUUGAAGGGCCCCGUGCAGAUGUAGGUCUUUCUUUGGGGGCAAAGAACUGCUUCUGCUCAGCAGCCAGUAAAACCACAGCAGGAGCUGCUGGGGUGGACGAGGAGGUCUGCAGCAUCCCCUGUUCCCAGGGCUCACACCCUGGGUCCCACCAUUCCCCAGGAGAGGCCUUCCCCUCUGUCUGGGUGUUUUGCUGGGUGCCAAAGGGAAUGGAGAACCCCUCUGGAAGAUGUUCAUCACUAAUGCCACCUCUCUCUCAUUUAAAGGAAGGCUUCUGCAUCCACAUGCAGGUCUCUGGGCUGUGCAAGUCACCACUGUGGGACCUUGACCCUGGAUGGCAGCUUUGCUGAGCCCACAAACUCCUGGGUGUCAGUGGUGCAGGCAUGAGGAAGCCAAGCUCAACGAGAGCGCCUGCAGAACAGCAGCGGGGCUGAGCCAGCCUGGGACAGUUUGCUGAGACUCUUGGACUUUGGAAAGGCCUGGAAAAGAGGAAGUUCUGCUCAAACCCUCUGGACUCGUACUUUCUCCUGGGCACCCUGGACUGAGAUCUCAAGCAAUCGGGAAGGAAGCUGCACAGGAGAAAAUCCCUUUUAGUCCAAAAGGAGGCACAGGGUGAGGUUGCACGUGCAGGCAGCUGAGGAGGCUGCCCGCAGCUGGGUUUCUGUGUUGCCUUCCGAGGACACGGGAUAACUCCUGAGAGCUGGAACUGGUAAUGCAGCAGCAUCUCUUCUGGUGGUCAGGACUGCAGAGCAGCAGGCUAGUUGGUUGCAGGGGGGAUUUCACACCUCGAUGGGUGGAGUACCCCCAGCUCGUGAGCACAUUUCCUUCAGUGCUGCCUGCUCGUUCUGUGCACCUUGUUGCUAAUGAGUCUCAGCAUCCUACCUAGGGGAUGGACAGACAGACAAACUCGAUGCUGGCACGGCGCUAGCCAGGCUUCAGCCUGAUGCAGUUAUGCUCAUCCACGAGAAGCUCACCAGGGCCAGGAGACUGAGAGACCGUCUCCCACAAAAGACACCGACAACAGCCAGUGUCUGGUUGCUUGGUGUUGCUGAAGUAUCAUUGAUUUUUACCUUCUCCUCUCCGUAACCAUGACACCGACACAGCGGCAUGUCUGUGCUGGGGCAGAGGGAAGCGGAGCUGGCAGGGUGAGGCUGGAUGGAGCAGCAGCAGCUUUUGGUGCAACGAAAUGGUGUAAGCAACUUGUUUUCCUCCUGUUUCACUACAGAUUGCCUUCCACGUCUGCGUAAUGAGAUGUCAGAACAGGGGUUCCCCUUGUCUCUGUGCUCCUGUUUGCACAGGGCCAGGCUGGGCUACAAAUCCCCAUCCCCUGUGUUCGGUUUGGUGGCCCUGUCCCUCUGUGUGAGAGCAGGCAUUUGGAGGAGCAAAUCCUUGCCCAAAGGCUUUGUUACCUCCAAGCCUCUCCAGGUGACAUUUGGCAAAGCCUGGUAGCACCUCCUCAGGCCACGACAUCCGCUGUCUUCAGCUUGUCAGCUCCAAAAUGUGUGUUGGCUUCACCACACGCUUAGCACCACUGACUGGUGUGUGCCCAAAUAUCAAGUAACUCGCUGAGCUGGGGCCUAGCUCAGGCUGAUGGGAUUAGGACCAUUUCUUUCCGCGUGGGUCACUGAGCAUGUUGGGAGGGAUAAUUUUAUGAGAUUCUGUUUUCUGUGACUCGAGGGAGGCGGAGCUGAUAACCAAGAGAGGAUUUGUUUGAAGUAAGGCAAAAUACAAGUCUACAGCGAUGUCUCGCUGGACCUGAAGACAUCUUAAGUAUUUUGGAGAGGACCAAAACUGACGCCAGGUGCUUGCCUAUCGCUGUCAGAAACAGAGGGAAUAUUUGGGAGUUGGAAGCCCGACUCCAGAGUUAGAUCUCAGGUACCUCCCUCUCAAGCACUGGGGAAGGGGCUGGGCAGCCCUGUGGGUGAGCAGCACGCUGGGUUUGGCAGCUCCCAGCAGAUCACUUUAAAUCCUGCCCCGCUUGCCCUUCGUGUCUGAUUUUAACAGCAUGACCGAAUCCCUGCCAGCAGGGAAGCUGUGUUUGACUGGGGAGGUAGUAAGAUGAUUCGAACACAAGAGCUGAUAGUUUCAAGUAACUAAAACUUAACCUCAGCACAUAAAGCGUUAUUGUCCUGCCACAGCAGUCCUCUGUCCGGGAGAGCACAGCUGCAGGGGAAAUAAAUGCUCCUCUUCUUUUUCUUUACCCUUUCUUUCUCUCUCUCUCUCUUUUUUUUUCUUUCUCUUUCAUUCUCUCUCUCUUGUCUGUUUAAAAACGGGGACCUCAUAUAGGUUUGCUGGUGUUGGCCAGCAGUGUGGCAUGGGUGCUGAGCUCUGAGGGCAAAGUCCCUUUAAUCCUGGGAAUUACAUCCCAAGCAAAUCCAUUGAUGGGUGUGGAUUUAGUUGAGAUCCAGGUCAAAUCCUGGCCCCAUUGAAGUUAAAUGGGAGCUUUAGCCACCGGUUGCAGAGGGAUCAGGGCUGGGAGUGGAGCACAUCUGCCCUGCCAGCCUCUGCAUCCCCUUCCCCAUGGGGUGAUUGUGCAGCAGUUAGGAUGUCUGCAGGCACCCCAGCUGAGCUUUCCCUCUCUGUCUCAAGAUCAGCCACAGCUUCGCUCCUUUUCAAACCCCCAUGAAACCUCACCGAGCAGCAACCACUGCUGAUCCUUCAGCUCCUUCUCGAGACCAUCUCCUGACACAGAAAUGGCUUGUUGCCACGUGCAGCCAGCGUGAAUGCCAGCUUCCACCAGCAGCUGUUUUGGCCAUCGAAGCAUCUGAGGACACCUUUCCAUCUUGGAAAAGCACUGCCAUCACCAGCAUUGCACCAAGGGCUGCCACGGAGCUGGGAAAAGCGCUUCCACGCAGGUUGUCCUUCCUCAAUGUGUCAUCAAUGGGGUACGGUUGUGUGUGUAUAUAUGUGUAUAUACAUAUAUAUAUAUAUAUAAAUAAAAAUCUAAAAGGAAAAACCCAAAGCCCAAGCUGGUGUCACUAGGAGCAGACUCCAUGCUUUCCACAGUGAUGCAAUGAAAUGAUAUUAAAAAGUGUUUGAAAUCUUGUUUUAGAAGCUCUUGUUCCCGGCUAAAGCUGAUGAAGCAGCACUGCUGGCAGCGUUAUGGUGAGGAACACAUGAAGAUGCUCCAGCCCUGCAGGUUCUGCUGGUCCCCAGGUGCUGGGAGCUGCAGGCUCCUUCCCAGGCACUUCCAAUGCACCCCGCAGGCCGCAUUGCUCCACUCAUGCAGCCGUGCCACAUUUCAGGCAGUUUAGACAGUGUUUAUGAAGCAAAACAGGAGUAGAAGGUCACCAAAAGUGUCUUCAGGCAGAAGUGGGGAAGGGCCACGAGGUGAUGAACCCCUUGGCCUUUGCUGGCAGGUGGAGGCAGACACGUCUGGACGAGAUGCUCGGUUUGCAACCAAGAGGCAGUGGCCACCUCCAGCAGAUCUCCCUGUAGCUGAACGUGGUGUCCACAUCAAAAUUCGUCUCAGUGAAAGGCCUUUUCCCAGGCGUCCUCCAUGCUGUGGACAGGUGUUUGGUACCCACGGAAGGUCCAAGACCUGCAAGAGGGAGGAUGCUGCUGGUGUCUGUCUGGAGAUGCUGCAAGCCUUCCAGACGGGCCUCUGUGUGCCAUGAGCAGGGUGCCUGAGUGCCUCCUUGAAGGCCCAGACCACCUCGUUUGCACAGAAAAGCCACUUGCUUCUAGUGGUUCCUCCUGGCCACUUGCUGCAAGCACCAAGGGGAUUUGCAACCACCUUUUUGGUGGUUGUCUUCACAUCUUAAUGAACAGGUAAACAGGGCCGGGAAGGGCUGGGGAAGGAUGUGAUGCUCCCCUGUGCUUGCAAAAAUCCCAUAUGGACAGCAGCAAAAGUGAUUCUGCAGCACUGCAGCCAUCAGUGCUCCUGGCAGGGCCACCCUCCGGUGCUGCCACCCGCAUGGCUGCUAACGUAACUCCCAGCACCUCUGAGACUCAGGCCCUCUCAGCCCUGAGACUGCAGGCAAGGUCUGUUCUGGGCCCUUCUGCAGCUGCUUCAGCUUCGGUUGGGCCUGGGACCUGCUCAGGAGCUGAGGAGGUCUCCCUGGCCCGCUGCAGGCAUCGAAGCCCCCUUGCUGCUCUCCCAGAGCAGCCGCUGUGAUGGACGUGUGGCUGGAUCAGUGCUUUAUGCUGGAUGUGGCCCCCACUACAAGUCAGCAUGUGCCAGCAAAUGACAUAUGGUUUUUCUUUCAGUUUUAUUGCAUCAGAGUCACUCUGCAUUUUAGAUCAGAGGCUCCAGAAUCUUUAGCACAGGGGCAAGAACUACAGAUAGUAAAAAUAAAUAAAUAAUAAUAAUAAUAAUGGGGGGAAAAAGGUCCUGGAGAUGCAGUUUUGUCUUCCUGCGUGUUACAACGUUGCUGGCUGCCUUGGGCUAGCACCACAGCUUGUUUUCAGCUGCAGCAUCUGCCCUGUGAAGGCUGGAGUGGAAGUUAAUGAGAAAUAAAGUGGCCAGGCUGUGCUGGGACAGCAGCAGCUGUUGGUGGAGCCACCAGGGGAAUGGCUCUGGCAUGGAGAGGCUGAGGACUGUGCCUGAGCUUCUAUGUCUACAUUCAUGAAAAACAGGUAAGAAAUGCUCCUAGCUUGGUCGCCUACUUCCAAGCCCAUUCUCAAAGCCAAGAAUGUGAGUAAAAAAAGGAUUAAACUGUUUUUAAGAGCUUUAAUCACAUAAAAUGGAGAUGGUCAAAGUGUUUGUGUGAGGAGAUGUCUCGCACCAGUAUGUGUUUCUCUCCAAAAGGGCUGAGAUUAAUUUUAUUUAGAGGGGCAGAAACAGAGGAUUAUAAAACUGGAAUGUUCUGUGAUGCAAGACUGCUGCUAGAUUCAUUUUUUUUAAUUCAUUUUUUAUAAACAGGCUUUUAAUUCAAGUUGUCUCAGUCUUGUUUCUCCCCCAGCCUCUCCUGUGCAAUGCUGGCCUGUUUGUGUCUGGGCUACUGGCAGCGUGUGUUUCAAGUUCUAGCCAAGUAUGUAUUAAAAUAAAGCUGCAAUCUGCCGAAAAACAGGUUUUAAGAUGGAAACAAAUAAUUAGAAACACGCAAAUUAGUGUAUGUCUGACAAUAGGUUGAGCUCUGUACAAAUUUAAACAAAGCUGGAAAUCACAGGAUGCAAGUGAUUAAACCAGAGGCAGUGGCUAAAUGUCGGCUUUAGCAGGUCAGGUGAAAAAGGUGUUGGGAAGGAGCAAACCUGGGCGGGUUUUGCAAGGGCUGUGCACCCAGAAUUGAGAUAAAACAGUAGCAUUUUGGGGCCUUUAUGUAAGACAACACGUUUAAAGAAUGGGUGCAGCAGAGGUGCUUGCUCAAGGUGCCCAUUUGACCACUUGGAGUGCUGGGACAUCCACAACUUCUCUGGGCCGUGGUGGAGCACCACGAAGCUACGCCGGUGGGGACGAUGUGGAAGUGCUCUCUGUGGUUUCCUUCCUUUGGCACCAGCUGCUUUUACACCUCCAGCCUCAGGUGGUGCGGGCACCCCAGCCCCGCCAGCAACCCCUGUCUGGGUACUGACCAGUGGGUCCCCUGGGUGGCUUUCCAGCAGUGACUGGGAGCAAACUGGUUAAAAAUUCGUUGAUCGCUGAAAUUACAGCGUGCCUGUUUCUCUUUGUGCGCGUGUGUGUAAGCAAGCAAGGCACAAUAACAGCAUAGAUUGUUCUUCUGCACCCAUUGUUAUGGAAAUUGCCUUAGAGACAGUUGCUCUGCCGUACAUUUUUAGAAGCACCAGCAGGAAAAGCACUCGGAGGAGAGGAAGAGCACCCAAGGCAGUGCCAGCACUGCCCCUUCCUCAGAUGCUUGUUGGGGAUUUGAGCUAUGGGUGUUUUUUUUGCCCAUUCGGGCAGAGGGAAGGAGCCUCUGAAGGAAAAUCCCCAUCUGUGUCAGCCUCCAGAGGAGCCUUUUGGGCUGCGUGUCUCAGUCUCCACUGCUCAUCCGCAGUUUGGGCAAGGGAUCGUGUGUCCCAUGCUCAUGCCUGAAGUUUUCAGGAGUCCUUCCUUCUGCCAGCAGUGCCUCACUACUACAAAUGGCCCCAUUUAAUUCAAAAUUAGUGUUUUCCUACUGCUAGAUGCCACUUUAUCUCAAAAAAAAAUUUCAAGAAGAAUUCCCCAUUGGCUCGGUGUGCUGAAGUGCUGUCCGCCUGUGAGCUGGAGGGGAGCGAGCCCUGUCUCUGAUCCGAUGCACUUUGUUCACCACCAUGCCUGAAACAAGGCUUCUGAUGCUCCCACACCUCCCAGUUUCCAAAAUACCCCAGGUGCUGGUGAAGGCGCUUUGGAAGCAGCAUGUGUCCAUGAAAUCUUUGUCCUUCCCUCACACCGGUGUUUUGGAAAAAGCAGAAAAUGACGGUGCCCUGGAGCCCCCGAGUCGGUUGUGACCACUGAGCACCAGAAUGCUGUAGGGCUUGCAGGCACCCUCUCCUUCUUCCCAGCCAGCUCCAGUUUCCUGGUCUGAAAUAAAUGGUCCUUUGGGUUCUUCUGCCACACCAGCUUGUCCCUGCUUUGAGAAAGAGCUUUCAUCUGAAAGGAUGGUGGUUGGGCCAGCGAGGGGUGUUGCAUGCUGAGGGUUAGGGCUGUUCAACCCCUAUUUGCAUUAAAAUGCCCAGGCCCACUCAGUUUUGACCCAAGAAAUCAUCUUUUGUCUCAGUUUCAACGUUUUUUCUCUUUCAGGAGAAGAGGCAGGAGGUCUGGGCAGGGGAGAGUGGUUCUGGAGAGGGGCUCAGCUGUGUCCCCUCCUAGCACCCCCAGCCUUGUGGCUAUUCCUCCUGCUGCAUCCCAGAGCGCUCAAGAGCUGGUGGUGAUGGUGAGGUGGUGGCAGAGGCUCGAGGGGACCUUGUCAUAAGAACAUGGACACUGGGAGUCACGAGCUGGUGGCAGGAUGCCACUGAGCAGCCUGGUCCACGUUGGCUCCAUGGGUCCUUAGCUGCUCCUCUGCAGCCCCCAGGCACUGUCUGGGGCUGUGCAUGCCCAUGGUGGGGUCAGGAGGACCUCUCCAUCCUCCUUUGUAGCCACUACAGCUGAAAAGAUUCUUCUCUGUGAACCUGGGAAACUCUUUAUCCAAAGGGUCCCUCAUGUUGCUACCCCCAAAGGCUCAGCAGUCAGAAGCAGGAGAUUAACACAACCCUCCAACAGUUUCUUCUGAAAACGAAAAUAUUGGAGGGGUGGGGAAGGGUAACUUUGUAUUUUAGACUCUGAUCCUUUUAAGUUUCUUUUACUGUCUUUAUCUGUUUCUAUCACAAUGUUUGGAAGCCCUGUGGUGGUAUUUUAUUUUAUUUUAUUUUAUUUUAUUUUAUUUUAUUUUAUUUUAUUUUAUUUUAUUUUAUUUUAUUUUAUUUUAUUUUAUUUUAUUGUUUUUGGUUGGUUUUAAUGUGAAAGCAAAGAUUUUGGGGGCAGGUAGCUGAAGCUUGGCCACGGGGACUGACAGCCCUGGGCCAUGCCUGUCUGCAGAUGUCGGAUGCCUUGUUUGGAUGCCUGGCUGCUUUACAGCAGAGAAGGACACUUUAAUCUUUAUCCUGAGCUUAAAAAUAAAUAAAUUAAAAAAAAAAAAAAAGAGAAUGGAGAAAAAUAUACAAAGUAGGCCAUGACAACAGAGUUUGUGAUCAUCUGAGAUCUGCUCCUAAUUAACAGCAGUUCCCGUCCCAGAAAUCAUACCAUUCAGCAAAAGUUAAUCAUCUUUGCUCAUACAUACAAUGCGCUUCAAGAGGGAAUGAGUCACCCUCAUUGAAAUGUCUAAUGUUAUGAAAUCCAGUGUGACUGAUGUAAUAGACCCAGCUUAGCUCUCCAGAUUGGCUGGGAGCACCAGCAGCAGCACUCAACCCCUGAGUUGACUUCAUUGAGUUUUGCUUGUUUGUACCCAGGCUGGCUUUAGCCUUUAGAUCCUAAAAUAAACUCUCAGGGAACAGCCCAAGAAGAAGCUGGGUGGACUCGUGCCUGGCAAAGGGGUGGCAGAGGGCAAGCGGAGUGGCAGCACCAAGCCUGGUGGUCCUUGCCCCCUGGCAUGGUGCUUCUCAGUGCGACCUCUGGGAACAGAAGCACUCAAAUCCCAUCACUCUACAUGUCUAAGCAAUCACAGGCCCAGGGAUUUAUUCUCCAAUUCUUGGUUCAAAGAGUAUCCUGCCUUUAUAUCAGCUGUUCCUCCUUAAAUUAAAUAUUAUUACCUGCAAACAUUUCCUUUAAGCACUGGGAGCUGUUUGCUUGGUGUACUUGGUGUUUAAAUGUCACCAUAUGAAUUACUGAAAGUAAUUUAAAUAUUUAAAGUCAUAUACUGCAAGUCUAAUUUUAUUCUGAAAUAGUGAGCCAGACUUGCAGCUGAUGCAGCCGAUAACAGCUCAGUCUGGCACCCUUGCUUCCUGUCCCAGUUCUUUAAAUUAACAAUUUGCAUUUCCAACACCUUUCACCCAACAAGUCUGGGCUCUCAGAUUUUUUUUCUGUUUCAGUGCGAUGUCACUUUACCAAUAGCUUUUACUUGACAUGAAUGCCCGUGGUUUCCAGUGAAAUAAUGUUUCCCCUGAGAAGUGCCACCACCCAGGCCAAAGCUUUCCCGAGCUUUCCCAAGAAAGGGUCUGGCCACUUGGAAGCUCCAGCUCCUGGCAGCAGCCCACCCGGAGGAGCUGUGCUCCCACCAGGGCUCAUUUCCACAUCCUUGUGCCCACCCAGCCUUCUAGUUGUGCUGCAGGCACCUCCUCAGAGCAUUUGUCUUGCUGGUGACCUCCCUGCCCCUCACUGUCCAGAGAUGUCUUGCUUCCACUGUAAAGCUCAUUCCCCAGGAUGUAUUUGCUUAAAAGUUGCCUGGUCACCUCUUUCUCUGCCCGCUGUUGCCUCACUGUUCGAAUCAGGAGUGAGGAAAUGGUGACAUGCAGGCACAACACGCCUGUGUGUCCCCAGGCCGUGUCCCUCCUCCCUGGUCAGCAUGGUGCAUCGGCAGGGUGGGGGAGACCUUGCAUCUCCUCCAGAAGGAGGGCUCGCUGUGCUGUCACGUCUGGUCACAACUCUGCAGGGCAGGGUGUGCCCCCUUUCAAAACUGGGUUGUGUCUUGGUGCACACUUCAUUUUACAUUCAUAUCACGGGCUGUAAAAGCGAGUCAAGGGGAAGCUGGAGGUCCACCGUGUAUUUCUCACAUGGGACCAUGUAUCUUAAAGCCCAUCUUUUCCUCCCAGGUCCAUCCCUUGGUCUAAUAAAUGAUGUGAGCUCUGUGCAUGUCCCUGGGAUGUCCCAGCUAUAGCAGCUGCAUGUGACAACAGGGCCACAGGGGGACAUUUCCCCCAAAUCCCCUUUGGCCACCAAAGCCGGCCCCUCCAAGCUGUGCCAGAGCAAAGCCCAGGCCCUCAAUAACCCUCCAGAGAUGCUGUCAGCAGGCUCAAUAAUGCACACGGUGUCUUGGGCAAGAUGCAAUAAGUGCCUUCAACAAUGACUGCUUAUGCAUUGUUUCCUCCUGCCAACACCACCAAGUGCCUUGUCUGCUUUGCUUGCUGGAGGAAUAAUCUGGACUGAUGCUCCAGCAAAGCUUCCAGGCUGUCAUGAAACAGAUCAAUCUCUCAAUGCUGCAACAAGGGGCCUGGAGAAAAUAUGGGGAAACGGUGGACCCUUCCUUUGCAGCAAGUGGGUGAUGAGGCCAUGGGUGAUAGGACAAGGGUAAUGGCUUUAAACUAAAAGAGAGGAGGUUCAAAUUAGAUAUUACAAAUAAAUUAUUUACUCUGAGGGCCGUGAGGAGUUAGAUGGGCUUUAAGGCCCCUCCCGACCCAAACCACUCCAUGAUGCUAUGAGCAGGGGUCAGGGAGCCAAGCUGGGGAAGCGGAGCUGGGAGCCCAAGCUCAUUUUAAGAAGUGCCCAGUGGGUGGUGGAGCUGCUUUCGCAACGGGUUCUGGUAAAAAGCCUGCACCAGGAAGCUCACACUUAGCCUCCUUGAAACAGAAACACUUCUCUGCAGGAAAUCGCUUCUUGCAACCAGCCUGGCUGACUGGGAGGAACAGCCAGGGAACUGACGUGUGUGGAGGGUGGGCCGAGGAUGCUGAGCCCGUGGAGCUGGGAGGCUCUGGGUGUGCAAAUGGGUGAGAGCAGAGGCAUGUGGAGAACAAACACCAAGGGGCCCUGCUGUCACUGCUCUGCUUGCUUUUCUAUGCCUUCCUGUUCUCUACGGACAAUUUUAUUUUGGCAUAUAAGUGAGAAAUGAUUAGAAAUGGGGCAUGUAGGUAUAUAGGUAUAUAUAGGGAUAUGUAGCUAUAGGUACAUAUCCUCCACAAGGGUGGCAUGUGGCUUUCACACCUGUUCAUUUAAAGCCUGCUGCUAAAAAGUGUAGAGAAUCUGAAAUGUUCUCCAGUUUUCUCUCUGCAAGGAGCCUGGGAAGCAGAGGGAGGGGAGCAGGGAAGCCGUUGUUGCUGUUAUCCCCGUUUGGUUGGAUCGGAGGUCGCCCUGACAGCUGGCAGAGCCUGUGGGGACUCAUCUCCUGUUUGUCCCUCUCUCUCCUGGAUUUUACAGAAAGUGUGGGGACCUCCCAAGCUGUCAUUGAAGCAGCUCUCCCAGCCAAAGCAGUGUGAGAAGUACUGGGCUGAUAUUUCCGGAUAAAUUAGGUGUUGGCUCUGCAGAUUGGAUUUUUUUUUUUUUUUUCACCCAGGUGGAAGCAAACCCUUUGCUAUAAAAACGCAGAUGAUUCCUCAAACUCUGAAGAUGGAGCCAGGCUAUUCUUGGGUGCCCAGUGAAAAGAUGGGAGGCAAUGGGAACAAACUGGAGCACGGCAUGUAAUGGUUAAACAUAAGGAAACACUUUUUCACUGUGAGGGUGGUCAAACACUGCAUCAGGUUGCCCAGAGAGGGUGUGGAGUCUCCAUUCCUGGAGAUAUUGGAAACCAACUGGGAUGGGAUCCUGCUCCAGCAGACCUCACUGUGAUGCUCUCCAGAGGGACCUCCAGCCUCAGCCCUUCUGGGUGCAACCACUGGGAGCUGAUCACAGAAAACAGACAGAGUUCUUGUAGCCUUGAUUUUUGCUGCAAAGAGAAGAUAAUGUCCACCGCAGCCUGCAACACUCUGCACACAGCUUUGCUCCUCCGUGGCUGCCACAGAGCUUCUGCAUAUACCUGGAGACAUCUGCAUGGUGGAGAGGUGGGAGCCAGCCUCAGGGGAAGCCUCCUACCCUGAGCCUCCUUCAGAAGGCCGGAAUCUGGACGUGGAUGUUCACUGCAGCUCUUGAGGGAGCUCAACCUUGACGGUGCUUUCCAGGUCUGACAAGAGGCAAAGUUGAUGUCAGAAGAGCCAGGUGGGAGGCAGGAGCAGAGGUCCAUGGAGAUUGAGGCUAAUCUGGAAGAAGGAGGAACACAAGUGGAGGCCGGGCUCUGCGAAGGCUCUGUGAGGCCACACAUGCCUCCUUUUACAUUGGGCUGUGUGGAUUCUCCUGCAGGAACAUGCCAGAGAACUUUGGCCCGGAAUCCACAGACACCACGACAUGAAAAUCUCCAGCUCUAGCACAAAAGUGCCUCCCAGAGAGGGACAAACGAUGCCGUCCCAUCUUGUAGAGGAAGAAUGGCAGCACCCAGCAACUCAUCAGCCUGAGCUCCCUGCAUCCCGGCUCAGCAUCUCCACUGGCGACAACACAUGAGCAACACGACCCUGGUCCUGCUGGACACGAGGCAGCUUCACGCCGGCAGCAUGCACUUGCCAGGGCUCAGCAUCCCCGCAGGAUGGAGCCCAGCAGAGCAGCAGGGCUGUGCGAGGAAGGGGAAAUCUGCUCCCACCCCCAGGAGCUGCCCGCAGGCUCACAGGGAGGGCUCGCUGCAGAAAGCGUCGCAGCGCGUAGAUCCUCCCACUGAUCGCUUGUGGGUGCAGCGCUUCACCAGGCCAAAGUCAUCUGACAUUUUUCUUGCGGGCGGCUGAAGCUAAUGAAUCCAGAUUAGGCAGUGCGGAGGCUGGGGAGCUAGAUUUCUGCUGAAUAUAUAUGAAGACAAAUGUAAAUUCUAAACUUUCUAGGGAGUAUUUUUACCCUGGCUCAGCGUUAGUGUUGAUAAAAAUAGUCACAAAUUAGUGCAGGAGUAGAGAGCGAAUUUGGGCUUUUUUAUUUUAUUUAUUUAUGUGUUUAAUUUGACUGUUAAAGCCAUGCAUCUAUUUCUCUACCAGGAGUUAACCUCUUACAUGCAAUAAUGAAACAUUGUGUAAAC